GAGGCGAAGCCAACGCGUUAAGUGAAGCGCCUGGGUAGUACGGCCGCAAGGCUAAAACUCAAAGGAAUAGACGGGGACUUGCACAAGCAGUGGAUUAUGCGGUUUAAUUCGAUGAUAAACGAAAAACCUUACCAAGGUUAGAAAUCCCAACGACGAUAUGUAGAAAUAUAUAUCUUCCGCAAGGACGGUGGGACAGGUGUUGCAUGGCCGUCGUCAGUUCGUGGUUUGAGCUGUUCCCUUAAGUGGGGUAACGAACGCAACCCUCGUUGCCAGUUAUAAGUGUCUGGCGAGACUGCUCCGGUCUGAGCGCACAAGUGAAAGCUUGUGAAUUCAGACCGGAGAGGAAGGCGAGGAUGACGCCAGGUCAGCAUGACCCUUGAUACCUUGGGCUACACGCAUAAUACAAUGGCUACUACAACAGGUCGCGACGGGGUAACCCCGAGCUAAUCCUUAGAAAAGUAGCCUCAGUUCGGAUUGGGGGCUGAAACUCGACCCCAUGAAGUUGGAAUU
rnacentral:rRNA from 1 species